rnacentral:lncRNA from 1 species
ACUAACAAAUGGUCUUAUUACAAAUAAUAGAAAUUUCAAAAAUAAAUAAUACAUCAAUAAAAUAAAUCUCAACUACUUGAUGUCAUUCAUACAACCUAAUACUGUACUUGAGAAUAUAAAAUAAAAGAACAAGCAAAUAAAAGAAAAGAUGCCGGAGAUUACCUCAACUGGGCUUUUUACACCCCACACCGAGUCAACACAUCCAAUGGCGCGGGAUCUGUGGUCUAGCUUCAAUCUCGACCCUGGAUAACUGAUUUCGGCCAAACUAGGUAACCACCCCUUAAAAUCUCUACUAAACCUUAACCCCCAAAAUUAACUAAGAUUCCCUCUAAUUUUCCCAACCCUUAAAAUUAACUUAAGUCUAGAGAUGAUAGAGAGUACUACCUAAGGUUUUGAAGAGAGAAAAUUACCAAACCCUUAAAAUUAACUUAGGUCUAGAGAGGAUAGAGAGUACUACCAAAGGUUUUGGAGAGAGAGAAAAUUAGAGAGAGAAAUAUGGAGGAGAGAGAGUGAGGCGUGCCCCUUUAAGAGAGAGAGAGAGUUAUGGGAGAGAAAGAGAGAGGUUGUAUGUAGAGAUUAGGGAAGAGCACCCCUAUUUAUAGUGGAUAUUUAGGUUUAAGAUUUUUUAGGGUUUUCCCAUAAUUCGCCUCUUUCUUGAGAUUGAAUCUAGACCGUUGAUCAAGUUGACUUGUGGGGUGGGAGAUCUGAGCC